CCAACUCAGGCUCCGCCCUCUCCAACAGGCGGUAAUAUGAGCGGGAAAGCGGGGGGGGGGGAAGAGGAGAACGAAAGGAGGAUUCCAAUUGGUAGAAAUUAUUGUGCAGCUGGACCAAUAGCGACAAUGGAACGCGAGAUAGGCGUGACUUAGGCGCUUAUUGCUUAUUUGUCCCCAAAGGGAAGGUGGUCCCAACGCGGUUUAAAUAGACGCUGGGCUGCUGCAGUUACGGCUCCUCUCCCGAGAGGGAGUAGGUUGGUCCUUUGUUGUCUGGGCUCGCGAUGGGGCUGCCAAACCGAACCGCUUCAAACAAAGCGAGCAGUAUAGCUGUCGUGGCCAAAGGUUGCUGUAGGAGACAGGGUUCCUGCUGUUCCAUGCCUUAAGGACUGAAGCCUGAAGUAGCAGAAAAGGCUAGGAUCUGCUUUGUUAUCCAUCUUCUAUAUGAGACUCAUCUGAAACUGGUUUGCUUUCACCCUCACAGACACCCUUCUGAGAUAAUUAAGGCACAGUGUUUAUAUGUGUGUUGUGGGGUAUUAAUACAUGUGAAUAAUUUGUUCAGAUUGAUUUGUAAAUAUUAACAGUACAUAAUUUAUUUCAAUUG